GGUAAACUUCGCCAUUCAUAGCGUUGGGGUUUCAUUCAAUCGAUACUUGCUGGUUCAGAUUCUGAUUCUCAUCCAUGGAAGUAUGUUAUCCUCCUGCAAGUAACCUACCAGAUCAUCCUACUUACUCCCAUUCGUAUGUUCUGUUUAAGCUCUAGAUUUAGGGUUGGACGCAACUGAAAUCGACGUUUCUCAUCCCCGAUCUCUUUCUUUCUCAUCGACCGCUAUUCCUUCGUCUUCGAAUCUUCUUCGAAUCGUCUUCGAAGGUGUAUGAUUUGUUAAUUAAGAUGCGGUUGUCAUCGGCUGCUACUGUCACUGAAUCCAUACAAAUAUGUAUGUUUGACUUGACAAGGGGAGAAUAUGAAGGAAAAGAAUUGGAUAAGAUAUUCUUCUUCUUUCCUUCUGAUUUACCUAUUUCAACUCAACUUUCUGUCGUAGGGCUUAGUGAAGGACUUGUCACUUUUACCAGAAUUUUCUCACCGGAGGCAGUCGCUUGGCGACGUCGUAGAAGCAGAAUUGCAGAAUUGAAUUCUCGUGUAUUUUAUGAGGCAGAACCAGAUAUCUGGAUGGUGAUGAUUCGAGCUCACAAUUUGCAAAAACAACGUAAUGAAGCACGAGAUUCAACCGAUCCAGCUCACUGGCAAAAGGAUACCUCGCAAACGCCGAACAAAAGUCUCUCCGAUCCAAUGCUCCGACAAGAAAGCGCGUCUUCUUAUGGCUCCUCCGGUGGUGGUGGCGGUGGAUUCAACUGCUUCUUCUCACUUGACAACGGAGAUUUCAUGUUCUUCUAGCGGAAUCUCUGUAAACAAGGAUGUGAAGAUAAAUGAAGAUGCGAGAGAAAACGAGCUGCUGCGCAAGUCAAAGAGAUCCAGUAAGGGAGAAGAGAUCCAAGUCUCGGAAUCCUCUUGCGUUGAAUCGAGUUCGAGAGUUGCGGAGGAGAGAAAUCAUAAGAGAAUUAAGCUUAAAGGAGCUGUAAAGAGUAAGGAGGUUAAGGAAUUUGAAUAUCCAAACGGUGAUGGAUCUGAAAUUGGAAACAAUUGUUUAGAAUCAAGUGAGAAGUUAUUUAAAUUGAAGGAUAUAGGAGUUGAUUCAACUAUCUGUUCAUCCGUCGGAAAUAUCAUGCCGGAAGAAGAAGUCACAGAUGGUGAAACACGAGUUUUAACUAUUGAAAACUCUGAUGCUUCAGAAAAACAUGCUGAGAGCAAGUUUACAGAUCCGAAUUCAGAAUCAACUGUAGACCAGAGAGAAAUACUCAUCUUCAACCACUCUGAUCUAGUUUGUCUAGAGAAUCUAUGUUGCGAUGAAGACAUUUCUGAUUAUUCAUCUUCAUAUUCUAGCCACCGGACAGGAAUUUCACAGAACAGUUUAGACCUAGAUUCAUCAACCUUUAGUCCGUCUAUAUGGAUGGAAUCUGGAAGCAAGUUCUCCGAGAAAUCCUUCAUCGACUCAGGUCCAUCACCAACAUUCUCACUCUUCCUUGAGUAUAGUCAACAAUUCUCUACAUCAACUUCACCUUGCCAAUCUAAAUUCAUUUCUCCUGUUUCUGAAGAAGAGUAUUUCAUUGAUCCAUCAUUGUUGAUGUGCCUAGAAGAAGAAGAAGACAGAACGUGUUACCAGAUAUUCAGGAACAGGGAGAGAAAAUACGAUCUUCUUCCGAACUUUGCAGAGUACUGCCGCUCCACUGGAUUUGAAGAACUCAUUAUCGAUCAACGGUCACAAAUGAUACAGUGGAUAGUUAAGCAUUCAACAGCAAAAGAACUUCAGAAGGAAACAAUGUUCUUAGCAAUUAGCCUCUUUGACCGAUUCCUAAGCAAAGGGUAUUUCAGAAGCAAGCGGAACAUUCAAAUUGUGGGAAUUUCCUGUUUGACAUUAGCCACAAGGAUAGAGGAAAACCAACCUUACAAUAGUUUCAGACAGAAGACAUUUAGAGCUGGACACAGUACAUUCAGUAGAUGUGAAGUAGUAGCAAUGGAGUGGCUUGUGCUGGAAGUUCUCAACUUCAAUUGCUAUCUGCCUACAAUCUACAGUUUCUUAUGGUUUUACCUGAAAGCUGCAAAAGCAAAUGAAGAGGUGGAGAAAAAUGUGAUGGGACUUUCUGUACUUGCAUUGUUAGGACAUGAACGACUUUCUUUCUGGCCUUCAACAGUUGCAGCUGGACUUGUCAUACUUGCUUCAAUGGCCGCCAAUAAAGACGCAUUCUCUCAGCGCGUCAUAGAGACUCAUGUCAAUACGGAAGGAGAUGACCUCACUGGAUGCAUAAAGUGUCUUGGAAGCUUGAUAAACCAGAAGGUCACAUAGGAGUACUCACUAAAGGGGAUCGAUUAAUCAAAGUAAAGGGGAAAUCGACGAUCGAAAUGGAACUAGCGAAGGUGUGAAAUGGAAAAAGAUUUCUCUCUUGUCUUUGAGUUGUGGCCAUUAGAGAGGAGAUCAGUAGACAGUGAAGUGAAGAGACGGUUGUAGAAAGUGGAGGGGGGUAUUUUCGUUGUUGAAGAAUGAAGAGAAAAGGACACUUGAGAUCGUAACGCCAUGUAUAGAGUUCGAGUGUUGAGACAAAUCACUACCAGAGUUACACAAGGGACUCUAAACAGGGUGUUUGGGAGUUUAAAGCAUCUUGGAAUUGAAAUCCAUCACUUUCAGAUUCAGAUUUUGUAGAGAGCUAUUAUUGGGAAAUUCAAGUUAUGAUCCUUGAAGCAUGUAAUUUUUCAAUGCUGAAAUUUUUUAGUUGGUAAACUAGCCUCAGAACUGUUAAUUUUUUUAAAUUUAUAAUGAAAUCCAGAAUGGAGAUGAUAGGUUUUUCAUAAAGAAAUUUAGAUGGUAGACGAAGUGAGUGUAGCUUGUGUUUUAAUUUGGGUAGUGUGAUUUGUUUGAUUUGGGGUUAUUUGAAUAACUAGGUAUUAUUUUCAAAUAAUUUUGUUUGAUGUAACU